GACGAACGCUGGCGGCGUGCUUAACACAUGCAAGUCGAACGGAAAGGCCCUGCUUUUGUGGGGUGCUCGAGUGGCGAACGGGUGAGUAACACGUGAGUAACCUGCCCUUGACUUUGGGAUAACUUCAGGAAACUGGGGCUAAUACCGGAUAGGAGCUCCUGCUGCAUGGUGGGGGUUGGAAAGUUUCGGCGGUUGGGGAUGGACUCGCGGCUUAUCAGCUUGUUGGUGGGGUAGUGGCUUACCAAGGCUUUGACGGGUAGCCGGCCUGAGAGGGUGACCGGCCACAUUGGGACUGCGGUACGGCCCAGACUCCUACGGGAGGCAGCAGUGGGGAAUAUUGCACAAUGGGCGGAAGCGUGAUGCAGCAACGCCGCGUGCGGGAUGACGGCCUUCGGGUUGUAAACCGCUUUCGCCUGUGACGAAGCGUGAGUGACGGUAAUGGGUAAAGAAGCACCGGCUAACUACGUG
rnacentral:rRNA from 1 species